rnacentral:lncRNA from 1 species
CUGAUGGUGAUAUCCCCUGAUUUUCACAUUCCUUUUGUGGCCUUUGACAAUUUAAUUAUGUGAAAUCUCUAACCCGUCACUCACUUCAUUUCUGUUCCCCUUUUGUUAUGAUCAGAUUUGCUGUUUCCACUCCAUCUAAACUGCUAUCUGCACAGGCCUGGUGUUUUGGAAUGGAGCGUUGGUUGCUAGUUAGGGUAAAGCUAGGAGACAGUCGGGAAUGGCGACCAACGGCUGAGAGUUUGUUCUUAAGCAUUUUGUUAAAUUAACUGCUCAGCUGAGCUCUGAGUUGUUAAAAACGAUUCCCCUCUGUUUGGAGAUUUGCAGAGAGCUGUCCCCCUUCCAAUACAGCUGCAUUGGUUAAUGCCGCUUCGGAUUAUUUUUCUUGUGUUAAAAAUACAGAUAACCUAAUUAUAGCACCUCCCCAGUUCCCAAACGCCUCACUUAAUGGCUCAUUAGUGCAGUGAGAACACUUUCCAGCGCUUGCUAAAUAAUAUUCUGUUUCUGAGGACUUCGUCUUCUUUUUUCGUAUUUGCUCUGAAAAAAAAAAAUUGACUCAACAUAUUUCAGAGCCUUUGAGAUUUUGCUGAUUGGCUACUUUUCUGCAACAAGCUGGUCACUUUUCAGGAUCCAGCCUUUCUCCUCUUUGAGGAGUUGGGAAAAACGGGGCCAGAUGCUUUUGUUCAGUGGGAGAGGGUCGGAAGUGUUUCUAUAAAUCCUUGAACUCAAAGAAAACAGUCUUCCUUCUCACCCAGAAAUUAAUGUAGCUUUAUGGGAAUUUAAAAUCUUCCAUCGUGUGACUCAAUCCACCAUGUUUCUGAAGAAGCCAACAUAAUGCCCCGGCACCAAGGCCCUCAAGGAAUAUUCACUGAAUGAAUGGACCCUAGGAAGCUUAUAGUCUAGCUCAAGGAUUGGCCAACUUUUUCUGUAUGACAUCGGAUAGUAAAUAUCUUAGGCUUUGUGAGUCAUAUGGUCUUUAUCACAAUUAUUCAACGACUGUUGUAGGAUGAAAGUAACCUCCGAUCAUAUGUAAGUGAAUGGGCAUGGUUAUGCCCCAAAAAGUCUCUGUUUAUGAAUACGGAAAUUUGAAUUUUAUAUAAUUUUCACAUGUCAUGAAUUAUUUUGAUUUUUUCCCUCCAGUAAUCAAAAAUGUGAAAUAUUGUUCUUAGCUCAUGGUCAUACAAAAACAGAUGGUGGACUGGAUUUGAUCCAUGGGCCACAGCUUGCUGACCCUGGUCUGGUCAGUCUAUAGCAGCGCCAAAGCGCUCAUUUCUCUGGCCUCAUCUUGUAUUUCUCUCUCCCUCAUUCACUGCCCUCCAAUCACUUUGACCUUUUUUCUGUUCUGAGGACUCCCCAAGCUUGUUCUUGCUUCUGUGCCAUUUCUUUUUCUGUCCUUCUGCCUGGAACACCCUUUGCCCUUGGAUGUUCUCACACCUGAUUUCCUUCUCCGUAAUAUUUCAGCUCAAAUAUCAAGUCUUCACACAGGCCUUCUCCAAUACCCUCAUGUCCAGGUGGGCAUCCCUCCCUCAGCCGUUGUCUUUUAUUUCACUGCAUUUUGCAUCCUUAUACCAUCUGAAAGGAUUUUAUGUGUUUAUAAAUAAACAUAUCACUCUUAGAGAAUGGAAAUUCCUUUAGAUAAGGAGCAUUUUCUUCAUCUUUUAGGAUGUGGUUCUUUAGUACCUAGAACAGUGUCCGGCAUAUGGUAGAUGGUCAGUCAUGGUUUGUGGACCAAGUGGGGUUGGUGAUACAAGCUGCAGAAGAACAUCAAACAGAAGACACGUGCUCUCUUUCUGGUAUUUUUCAUAUUCCUCCCCACAUAAUCUCAACAAUCAAAUAAGGAGGGAUAUAUGCAUAGAUCACUGUGAUAUAAAGAUAUCAAGUUCUGAGGGCCACAGGGGAUUCAGUGCAGAGAGAGAUCACCUCCAGGUGGAUCCAAAGCCGAUGGCUCCAUGUAGGGGGCAAUCUUUGCACUGAGCCUUGAAUCUGCAGAAAGGGGUGGGAAAGAUCCAUCAGAGGGAGGGUUUCCAGAUACAGAGGAAAUACUCAGAGGACACUGAUUCCUAGGGAUUAUUUAUGCCGAUUACAUUCAAGUAAGGACUCCAUCCUGCUGCAGCAGAGAGAUCUGGAUGAAAGUCUUUGAAGUCUGAUGUUCUUCCGGAACCUCUCACAGAGGAGCUUGUUACUAAGUUGAGUCUCUUCAUUAAAGAUCUACAACCAACUAGCUGGUUAUCUCUGUUAACAUUUGGGAUAGCUACAGUUGAUUGACAGAAGGGUGAAGGGGAGACGGAGUUAAAAAAAAAUAUCUACAACCAUUGCAACAAAUAGACCUUGAGACCUUCUCUUAGCAAGUGGAGUCAAUGGAUCAUGUGAGCAAGGAACAGGCAUGACCAAUUUUAUUCUGCCUGUAAUACGUACUGUCUUGAAUAGCAUCUGGCUUUUGCUAGCUACCCUAGCCUCUUCUCCACUGUGCCUACGGGCAGCUUUCAUUCCACUUUCCCCAAGGUGCCAUGCUGUUUGGUACCUUUACAUGGGCCGAUCCCUUUCUUUCCCUUAUUCCUUCAAUGUUUGUGGGGCUAAGGAAGGUAACCUCAUGUGUGAGGCAGACUGGGUGGGGUUGGGGACAAACUAGAAGAUGCUCACUCUCUCCAAAGAUAAAGCUGCUGCCGAAUAUCAGCCAAUUUUUUGUCACACAGGAAUAUGAACUCUGGGCUGACAGAUCUUUUUCUUUUUUCUCUUUUUUUCUUUUUUUUUUUUGAGAAAUGGGAAAUCUGAAUUCUUAAAUAUUAGCAACUAGUUGAAAAUUUUACAAUAUAGCUGCCUGUGAGGUGUGUGCCUCACUGGUUUGCUUCUUCUAGUCUGAGCGAACGCCUCCUUUUCCUUUGUAAUUUUGCUCAAGGGCCACCUCUUUGUGCUUUCAUAGUUUGUACCGGCAACAACCAGAGUACUUAUCAUGUGGACUAUAAUACUGAUUGGACUCCUCAGAGAACCCAACUAGAUAAUGAGCUCCUAGGAGACGAGGAUUAGAAAGCAGCAAGCUUGGUCCACGUUCUUUUGGCUUCUUGUUAGCAUUCUGCCAUCAGCUAUGUUAUAUCAAACUCAUAGUGUCAUCUGAUAUAGAUAUACGAUGUGGUCAAGGAAACAUUACAGAAUCCCUUUAUAUGUUCCAUGAAAGCAUCACUUGAGUUUUAGUUCCAGAAAAGCUUGAUGUUUUGAAAGCAACUGGGGUGUGUGUGUGUGUGUGUGUGUGUGUGUGUGUGUGUGUACGCUCUUUGCUGUGGCCUACAGGGAGCUCUGCCUCAUUUACAAUCCACCUCUCUCAAUGGAAUGUUCACCUGACAUAUGUUUUCUUUUAUCCUAAUUUAUUCUUUGUUUUAUACACUUAUAUUUCAGGUUUUUUUUUUUUUAAGGCAACUCAAAGCCUUUUAAAAAAGUCUAAUGAAGUGUAGUUGAUUUACAAUGUUGUGAUAAUUUCUGAUGUAUAAAACUGAUUCAGUUACAUAUACACACACACAUCCAUUUUCUUUCCAAUUCUUUUCCCACAUAGGUUACCACAGAAUAUUGGGUAGGGUUCUCUGUGCUGUUGUACAGCAGGUCCCUAUUAACCAACCAUUUCCAUAUACUACAGUGUGCCUAUGCCAAUCCCAAAUUCCCAGUCCAUCACUCCCCCACUCCCAUUUAUCUCCUUUGGUAACUAUAAAUUUCUCAAAGUCUGUGAGUCUGUUUCUGUUCUGCAAGUAAGUUCUUUUGUAUCUUUUUUUUUUUUAGAUUUCACAUAUAUGCGACAUCAUAUGAUGUUUGUCUUUCACUGACUAAUUUCACGUAGUACGAUACUCUCUAGUUCCAUUCAUGUUGCUGCAAAUGGCAUUAUUUCAUUAUUUUUAUGGCUGAGAAAUAGUCCAUUGUGUAUAUGUACCACAUCUUCUUUAUCCAUUCAUUUGCCAAUGGACAUUUAGGUUGCUUCCAUGUCUUGGCUGUUGUGAAUAGUGCUUCUGUGAAAGUUGGGGUGCAUAUAUUUUUGGAGUUAUAGUUUCCUCCUGAUAGAUGCCCAGGAGUGGGAUUGCUGGAUCAUAUAGUAGUUCUAUUUUUAGUUUUUUGAGGAAACUCCAUACUGUCAAAAACUUUUUUCUUAACAUGAAACAGGAUAUGAGUAAAAACAAAUCACACUUAAUUUUGUAUUUCUCCAGGUUAUCCUCUGAGUUACUUACAGAAAAUGGGGGAAGGUGAGUAUGCAGUGCCUUUUACCUUUUUUAUGAGUUCACAGGGACCUGCCAAUAACGUUCUAUGUAUAAAUAUUUGAUGAAUAUACACUGAAUGAUGAAUAGACAAUGAGAUAUUUGAUCAUGUCAAUCACUUUUCUUUAGAUAAUCUGUUUAAAGUGCCAAAUAAAUUAAGGUGGCAAACCACAGUUUUCAUUACUGAGAAUGAAGAUGGGUAUUUGAGAUCUUAGCUUCUUUGCCAUAUUCAUAAUUUCACUGCUAGAACUCCAUACCAGAGCAGCUAAUGAGAAUAAGUUUAAGAAGACUGAAAUUGCAUCACAUUAUAACUGACACUUCGAGGAUUAAUUUUACAACUUGUGAUUUUAAUUU